CUGAUGCAGCCAUGCCGCGUGUGUGAAGAAGGCCUUCGGGUUGUAAAGCACUUUCAGCGAGGAGGAAAGUUUAAGUCUUAAUACGGCUUAGAUGUGACGUUACUCGCAGAAGAAGCACCGGCUAACUUCGUGCCAGCAGCCGCGGUAAUACGAGGGGUGCAAGCGUUAAUCGGAAUUACUGGGCGUAAAGCGUACGCAGGCGGUUUGUUAAGCAAGAUGUGAAAGCCCUGGGCUCAACCUAGGAACCGCAUUUUGAACUGGCAAACUAGAGUCUUGUAGAGGGGGGUAGAAUUUCAGGUGUAGCGGUGAAAUGCGUAGAGAUCUGAAGGAAUACCGGUGGCGAAGGCGGCCCCCUGGACAAAGACUGACGCUCAUGUACGAAAGCGUGGGGAGCAAACAGGAUUAGAUACCCUGGUAGUCCACGCCGUAAACGAUGUCUACUCGGAAUUUGGUGUCUUGAACACUGGGUUCUCAAGCUAACGCAUUAAGUAGACCGCCUGGGGAGUACGGCCGCAAGGUUAAAACUCAAAUGAAUUGACGGGGGCCCGCACAAGCGGUGGAGCAUGUGGUUUAAUUCGAUGCAACGCGAAGAACCUUACCUACUCUUGACAUCCUCAGAAUUUUCCAGAGAUGGAUUAGUGCCUUCGGGAACUGAGAGACAGGUGCUGCAUGGCUGUCGUCAGCUCGUGUUGUGAAAUGUUGGGUUAAGUCCCGCAACGAGCGCAACCCUUAUCCUUAUUUGCCAGCACGUA
rnacentral:rRNA from 1 species